rnacentral:rRNA from 1 species
GGUCGUCGCGGCGUGCUUACACAUGCAAGUCGAACCGAUGGACCCGCUGUUCGGGCGGGGAUUAGUGGCGAACGGGUGAGUAACACGUGGGCAAUCUGCCCUGCACUCUGGGACAAGCCCUGGAAACGGGGUCUAAUACCGGAUAUGACUGUCCGCCGCAUGGUGGAUGGUGUAAAGCUCCGGCGGUGCAGGAUGAGCCCGCGGCCUAUCAGCUUGUUGGUGAGGUAGUGGCUCACCAAGGCGACGACGGGUAGCCGGCCUGAGAGGGCGACCGGCCACACUGGGACUGAGACACGGCCCAGACUCCUACGGGAGGCAGCAGUGGGGAAUAUUGCACAAUGGGCGAAAGCCUGAUGCAGCGACGCCGCGUGAGGGAUGACGGCCUUCGGGUUGUAAACCUCUUUCAGCAGGGAAGAAGCGAGAGUGACGGUACCUGCAGAAGAAGCGCCGGCUAACUACGUGCCAGCAGCCGCGGUAAUACGUAGGGCGCAAGCGUUGUCCGGAAUUAUUGGGCGUAAAGAGCUCGUAGGCGGCUUGUCACGUCGGUUGUGAAAGCCCGGGGCUUAACCCCGGGUCUGCAGUCGAUACGGGCAGGCUAGAGUUCGGUAGGGGAGAUCGGAAUUCCUGGUGUAGCGGUGAAAUGCGCAGAUAUCAGGAGGAACACCGGUGGCGAAGGCGGAUCUCUGGGCCGAUACUGACGCUGAG